rnacentral:lncRNA from 1 species
GGAAACGAAAAACUCCGCAGUAUUCUCAGCCGAAACGACGACAGAGAAGAACCGUAGCAAUAGACGCUGCCCAUUGGGGUCGGCCCACUAGAUUCUUUUGUCCCCUCAGAGCUUCUCGUCUCCACGACUUGAAUCGGAUUCGCAUAUCCAAUGCUCGGAUUUCCGUCGCAUUGUCUGCUCUUCCUUGUGGAAGCGUUAAUGGCCGCCAAAAUCCAUUCCAAUUUCUUGAGCUCUACCUGCUCCAGAGACCAUAGGUUCGAGCUUUUGCUCGUUUGGUCUCGUUCCGAGGCCAGUGCCGAGUAAAGAGAUUGUUCCGGAUGAGACAAUUCGAUUUUUGGGGGUUCCGGUUCGAAUGGGGAAUCUUCUUGGCGUUGCCGCGAUGUUCAGUGGCCGUUUGUGAUUAUGUGCCAGAGAGUUACUGCGGCGGAGGGAGUCGCGGAAGCUUGUUUUUUUUGGGACCGAUAGAGUGGUGUCUAGGAGGUUAUGGCCCAACCUUUUGCAGGUUCUCAGUGUUCUCAAUAACCAAGGCCUGGUUUUGUCUGUACUUGGGUCUUUCUGCUUUCUUCUUCAUGGUAUGCUUUCGAUUUUUUUUCGUUUUUUUCGUUCAGGACGCAAAGAAUUUAAUUGGUCAAACUUUCUUGAUUAGUUUUGCUGCUAAACAUUAUUAGUUAGUGUGCAAGUGUGUGGAGGCUGCACUGUUGCGUCUUUCUGUGUUCUCUAAGGAA